AAAGAGCAGAAAAACACAAAAAAGUUAGGACUGGCAAUGUGUUUGGUCGUGGAAAACUUAACGAUUAUCCAUAAAACAAACGAAGAAGCAUGU
ensembl:ncRNA C04A11.7 ncRNA